ACCAAAAAAAAAUAGCGGAAACGCUACCCAACUUAGCAUUCUCAAAAACCCUAACGCACACAAAUCGUGUUCCCCUUCCCACUCUCACGAUCCCUCUUCUACCUCUUCACUGUCGCACUAGAAUCCUCGCGCUCUCCUUCCCUCUUUCACGAGCUCUCUUGCCAUACUCACCUUUUGCACCGAGCUCUAGUUUUGCGUUGGCGGCUCCGUCAUCGCAUCUCAGGGAGCCCAAGUUCCGCGAUGUCGUUCUCCCUCAUCCGUGCGCUUGCAGGCACCUGACAUAGAGGUCUGUGGAAGUAUGUUGGAGUCAUUAAAUGAAUGCUUACAGGUUUGGCUGAGAUAAUUUGGUCAUAUAUCUUGUGUGUUUAUCAAUUUGUUUACUUAAUUUCUAUUCUGUAAUUUACAAAAUUAGGGUAUACCUUGGCAUAGUUUAUACUUAUCAUCCAUUGUUAUUAGUUAAUGUUAGAUGGAAUGUUUUUGCCAAAAGGGGAGUUGUUGUCGGGGGAUAUUCUUGGGUUGCUGGUAUGGAGCACAACACAUCAGGGGGCUUGGGUGUUAUGGAUUUCUGUUGUACGGUCAAUUUGGAACGAUUGCAUAUUCAGAAAACGACCCUGUGCAGAUGGAGAAAGUAUUGGAGCAAGCGCAGUUUGAAUCGUGGCUCUGGUUGAGAGGUAAAAUUAAAGGCUUCGUGUCCUCUAUGUAUGAAUGGCAGGCGCAACCUUGGCAUUUUAUCUCCAAACUUUAGCAGAUUCUGGACCUUCUUUGAACUCUCUGUUCUGUUGCAUUUGCUAUUAUUUUGAGAGAGGGCAGAGUUUAGCUCGCGUGUUGGUUUUUGUGAACAGGUCUAGAUGGUAGUUUAGCCUUUGGUUUUCCUUUUAGAUUUGUGUCCCUGGCUUUUCCAUUAGCGGUGGAUUUCAGAGUUUGCUGUGUAAUAGUUAGGCUCCGUCUUUGGUUCUCUUGGUUGGGUGACUAUUUAUUUAGUUAUUUAACCAGAAUGUAGUUACCUCUUGUGCUAACUUUCAUAUCUCAUUUGUAUUUGUAAUUGGUUGAAGUACCCAUAGUACUUCACUUUAUAUCAAUUUUGGCUUAUCUAAAAAAAAUAUGCUAGUAGGUCAGCCUAUAAGGUAGAUCCAAGAAAGGAGAGUAGAAACCUGAGAUAAUUGUUUUCCUUUGAAGAGUAAUGUCCUUUUUGUUUAAGUGUUGCAGAAACUACCUCUCACAUUUGUUUCUCUUGCCAAUUUUCUUGGAGGAUUUGGAUGCAGGUUUACAGUUGGUGUGGUAUAUCUGUAGUGCUCCCUGAGAACAACCAAGAUCCUUUUCUACAACAUCUUUCUGUUUGUGACAGCAAAAAGAAAAGGCAAGGAGCUUGGAUAAUUUGGUGGGCCACUGUCUGGAGUAUCUGGAAGCUUAGAAAUUCAGUAAUUUUUAGGGGUAGUGAGAAGGAGCUGUCUCAGGUUGUGGACCAGGUAAAGUUCAAGGCAUGGCUAAUGGGCAAUGGCUAUGGAUUAAAGUAAAUCAUAAAAACUUCUCCUAUUAUCUCUUUGAGUGGAAUCAUUGUCCUCUCUCUUGUAUUGAUAAUAGUUGAUAUUGAUAGUGAGUGGGGAGUUUCAUAGGACCUUACAUCUGUUUUGGGUACUAUUGUCUAAUUAAUACCCUAGUGUUUUUUCGCUAUUAGCUAGCUUCCUGUCUCUAUUGUAACUUUGUUAUGGUUCUCUUUGUAAUGGAACUUGUGCUGGGAUUUUUUGAUACACUAGCACGAGUCACCGUUGUUGGUCAUGUUAAAAGUGCAUUUUUGCAGUGUCAACCGUCAUGGUGAUGUUUUCAGAAGUUGAAGUGUCGGUGAAAGGGAAGGAAAUGAAGGUUGCGUACUCUGUAAGAGAGAUUUAUGGACAGGGUUGACCAUGUACAACACAUUAUUUUUGGGAACCUACUUCAAAGGUUUGGUCCAUUGCUGAUGAGAUAAAAUAGGUGAUCACAACUAGUUCUAGUACAAGAACAGAGAGCGCCAAAGCUGAAGACUUUUAUGCUGAAGAGGUGGAAUUGGUUAAGAAGGAAAAUGAACAAGGGGAAGAAGUUUUCGAUCAGUGAAAGUUGCAAGAUUUAUUCAAAUGUUGCAGAGAAGUUGAUAUCACUGGGUGGACAAAGUCUAGCAACGCUUUGGUGGGGGAAGAUUCUUGAGAGGAUGUCAUUGAGUGUGAUACAGUUUAUUUAUUGUUGGGAUCUCAAAAUUGUGGAAUUUACUUGGUGCACAACUUUUAGUUUGUUUGAUUUCAACACAGAUAUAUAGAUUGGGUAUCAAGUGUUAAUUUAGUCAUGUUUUGAUUCA